rnacentral:rRNA from 1 species
UACGGAGGGGGCGAGCGUUAUUCGGAAUUAUUGGGCGUAAAGGGCGCGUAGGCGGCUUGUUAGGUCAAAGGUGAAAUCCCUCGGCUCAACCGGGGAACUGCGUCUGAUACUGGUUGGCUUGAAUCCGGGAGAGGGAUGUGGAAUUCCAGGUGUAGCGGUGAAAUGCGUAGAUAUCUGGAGGAACACCGGUGGCGAAGGCGGCAUCCUGGACCGGUAUUGACGCUGAGGAGCGAAAGCCAGGGGAGCAAACGGG